rnacentral:misc_RNA from 1 species
CAGGCCUCCCUCUGCUUGGUUCCAGUCGUGGGCAUGAGUGAGGGUCGAUGCUUGAUGGCUUUGAUGCCAUCGGUGGGAAUGUAUUUAAGCAUCGGCCUUCCCUCAUGCCCACGAUGGUCUACAGUCUUGGGUAUGAGUCAGUGACGAUGCUUGUUUGUUUAGAUGCUUGUGUUGGAACUUGCUUUCAACCUAGUAGGGACGUGUCCCUGCGCCCAACGACAAUUUUUGUCGGGAUCGUGGCAAGUCUGCGAUCCAGGGGGUGAUGUUGAGAGCCGGAAGGCAAGGGGGUGCAAACACCAGUCGGCCUUUGUCCCGAUUGCUGAGUGUUAUGUGCUUGAUGUCCAAGGCUUGAUGCUGAUCUUCCAAGUGGGGCUUGUCCCUGCACCAAUGGCUAUUGCCAGGAUCAUGGCGUUUGCUAUGAUCGAAAAAAUGAGGGGGUGAUGUUGAGAGCCGGAAGGCAAGGGGGUGCAAACACCAGUCGGCCUUUGUCCCGAUUGCUGAGUGUUAUGUGCUUGACGUCCAAGGCUUGAUGUUGACCCUCCAAGUGGGGCUUUUUUGUUCCUGCGGUAACGACUUUGUUGGGAUCAUUGUGAUCAAGUUUGGUUGGUUUCGUAUUGUGGUGGGUUUUUUCGAAGCUUCUAUCGUUGUUUUACGCAUCGUGCGGUGCAUCUUGGGGGCUGUUUUGGCUUUUGGUUGCUUGCUUGGGCUUUAUGCUAGGCGGGUGGCUAAU